GGCCGGAUGGUGUAGUUGGUUAUCACGUGUCCUUAACAUCUUAUGGAACGGACAAGGUCCUGAGUUCGAGCCUCAGUCUGGUCA